rnacentral:misc_RNA from 1 species
UUAUAUCGGUCAAUAAUAAGUUUUUGGAAUUCCGAAUUAAAUCACUAUUUAAUAACCCGUCGGACGUCAAGUUUCUCGCUUUUGAAAUCAAAUAAAAAACAAAGUUCAAACAAACAUGAAUAAUUGCUUGCAUGGAAAUCUAUCAAAAAUAUGCGCUGCAUCACGUCCUGCAGCAGCAGCAGCUGCUUCGCCUGUUGCGCGACAAAUAACUUCAACUGAUUCUAGACACUUUCAUGAUGUCGUCGGUGAUGUUGUGUGUCCAUCUGGUGUGCGCGGUAUCGAUCAUUUGAGAGAUCCACGAUUGAAUAAGGGCUUGGCCUUCACAUUGGAAGAACGUCAAACAUUAGGUAUACAUGGUCUGCAACCUGCCCGUUUCAAGACUCAGGAGGAGCAAUUGGAGCUGUGUAAAAUUGCCGUGAGUCGCUAUACGGAGCCGUUGAACAAAUAUCUGUACCUGGUCGAUCUGCAAGAUCGUAAUGAGCGUUUGUUCUAUCGUUUCUUGGCGGAGAAUAUAGAGCAUCUUAUGCCCAUUGUAUAUACACCUACCGUGGGCUUGGCCUGUCAACGUUUCGGCUUGAUUUACCGCCGACCACGUGGUCUUUUUAUCAGUUUCAACGAUCGUGGUUACGUUUUUGAUGUCAUUAAAAAUUGGCCUGAAUCGGAUGUCCGUGCCAUUUGUGUGACAGACGGUGAACGUAUUUUAGGUUUAGGUGAUUUGGGUGCCAACGGCAUGGGUAUUUGUGUCGGCAAGCUGGCUCUUUACACCGCUUUAGCUGGCAUAAAACCACAUCGUUGCUUGCCAAUUUUGCUCGAUGUAGGCACCAACAAUAUUGAUUUGCUGGAGGAUCCAUUAUAUGUGGGCUUGCGGCAAAAGCGUAUUGUUGGCAAGGAAUAUGAUGACUUUCUGGAUGAAUUCAUGCAAGCGAUUGUUAAACGUUAUGGCCAGAAUACUUUGAUUCAAUUUGAAGAUUUUGGCAAUCACAAUGCAUUUAGAUUCCUCGACAGAUAUCGUGAUUCUUAUUGUACCUUUAAUGAUGACAUUCAGGGUACUGCUUCGGUUGCAUUGGCGGGCAUUUAUGCUUCAACACGUAUAACUGGCAAAAGUAUAACAGAUUACACGUUCAUGUUCGCUGGUGCCGGCGAGGCUGCCAUUGGCAUUGCGGAUCUCAUUGUGAACGCUAUGGUUGCCGAGGGUGUACCAAAAGAAGAAGCCAGACAAAAGAUUUGGAUGACUGAUAUUAAUGGUCUUUUGACUACAACACGCCAGGAAGGUUCCUUGUCGGAUCACCAGAAAAACUAUGCCAAGGAAGUUGCGCCAAUGAAAAAUUUACAAGAGAUUGUGGAGAAAGUGAAACCAAAUGUUCUGAUUGGUGCCUCAGCAGCUGCAGGCAUAUUCACACCAGAAAUUUUACGCCUCAUGGCUACAAAUAACGAACGCCCCGUAGUGUUUGCACUAUCGAAUCCAACUCAUAAGGCCGAAUGCACAGCGGAACAGGCCUACACUAAUACGGAAGGUCGCGUUAUAUUCUCAUCCGGUUCACCAUUUCCCCCAGUGGAGUACAAUGGAAAAACUUACAAUCCCGGCCAGGGCAAUAAUGCUUAUAUCUUCCCUGGCGUAGCAUUAGGUGUAAUCACCACUGGCACUCACCAUAUAUCCGAUGAUAUGUUCCUUAUUGCCGCACGAGAAUUGGCCAAUUUUGUUGAUCAAAGUGAUUUGGAUCGCGGUUCACUAUACCCAUCUUUGAACGCUGUACGUGAGGUAUCGAUGCGCAUUGCGGAAAGUGUUACCAAAUGUGCUUAUGACAAGGGUUUGGCAUCUACUUACCCCGAGCCAAGCGACAAACGCAAGUGGCUAGAGGAUCAGCUCUACAACUUUAAUUAUCAAUCAUCUAUGCCAGUUACAUGGCCGUGGCCAAGAAUGCCAUAUGUGAAAACUCGCCCAUUGGAGCCCACCAUUCUCUUCAGUGAUUCAAAAAAAAAUGGAGGCACGAACUGUAAAUAAUUUAAAAGCAAGUUCUAUCAGCUAAUCGGGCAUGUAAAUUGGAAAUUAUUUAUUGUAUAAGAUAACUUCAAAAUAGUAAGCUGAUGAUUCCCGAAAAAUAAAUAAAUGCUAUGCAUCCAAUCCUGUUGACAAAGCAAAAAAAAAAAAAAAAAAAAAAAAAAAAGUGAAAUGAAAUGAAACGAAAAACCGUUAAACUAUAUGGCUGCCGCAAUUCAUCCAUGAAUACUGCACACUAGGAUGCUGUCCGCAAGCGUGUUUGUGUAUAAUUGUACAUCUUUAACCGUGCAUACUUACAUACAUACAUACAUAUGUAUAUACAUACAUAUAUACCAACGAUCAACGCCCAACGCCCUUACCUAUCCCGUUAACAUCAUAGAGGCUACAAAAACAAAAUAAAAACCCAAAAUCAACCUCAAUUAUAAAAGCAGUUAAGAACCGUCAGCUAUUAUAUGUACGAAGAAUAUUGUAUUAUUACAUACAUACAUAAAUAUUAUACACUUGAAGAACACCUAUUGUGUAUGUAUGUUUACAAUUGUAUUGCAUUGUAUUGUUAAAUCAUUGUUUAGUAUAAUUUAUAGUUACACAGCUUUACUACUUUGUAAUGCAGAUUUAAUUUAAAACUUAAUUUAGU